GGGGUUAUAGUUUAAUAGGUAAAACAAGGACUUUGCACGUCUUGAAUUCAGAUUCGAUUCCUGAUAACUCCA
rnacentral:tRNA from 1 species